rnacentral:rRNA from 1 species
UACAGAGGUCUCAAGCGUUGUUCGGAUUCAUUGGGCGUAAAGGGCGCGUAGGCGGCUUGGCAAGUGGAUGGUGAAAUCCCUCGGCUUAACCGAGGAACUGCCGUCCAAACUGCUUUGCUUGAGGCCGGGAGAGGUGAGUGGAAUUCCCAGUGUAGCGGUGAAAUGCGUAGAUAUUGGGAGGAACACCAGUGGCGAAGGCGGCUCACUGGACCGGUACUGACGCUGAUGCGCGAAAGCGUGGGGAGCAAACGGG